rnacentral:rRNA from 1 species
GUGUGACUGCGUACCUUUUGUAUAAUGGGUCAGCGACUUAUAUUCUGUAGCAAGGUUAACCGAAUAGGGGAGCCGAAGGGAAACCGAGUCUUAACUGGGCGUUAAGUUGCAGGGUAUAGACCCGAAACCCGGUGAUCUAGCCAUGGGCAGGUUGAAGGUUGGGUAACACUAACUGGAGGACCGAACCGACUAAUGUUGAAAAAUUAGCGGAUGACUUGUGGCUGGGGGUGAAAGGCCAAUCAAACCGGGAGAUAGCUGGUUCUCCCCGAAAGCUAUUUAGGUAGCGCCUCGUGAAUUCAUCUCCGGGGGUAGAGCACUGUUUCGGCAAGGGGGUCAUCCCGACUUACCAACCCGAUGCAAACUGCGAAUACCGGAGAAUGUUAUCACGGGAGACACACGGCGGGUGCUAACGUCCGUCGUGAAGAGGGAAACAACCCAGACCGCCAGCUAAGGUCCCAAAGUCAUGGUUAAGUGGGAAACGAUGUGGGAAGGCCCAGACAGCCAGGAUGUUGGCUUAGAAGCAGCCAUCAUUUAAAGAAAGCGUAAUAGCUCACUGGUCGAGUCGGCCUGCGCGGAAGAUGUAACGGGGCUAAACCAUGCACCGAAGCUGCGGCAGCGACGCUNAUGCGUUGUUGGGUAGGGGAGCGUUCUGUAAGCCUGUGAAGGUGUGCUGUGAGGCAUGCUGGAGGUAUCAGAAGUGCGAAUGCUGACAUAAGUAACGAUAAAGCGGGUGAAAAGCCCGCUCGCCGGAAGACCAAGGGUUCCUGUCCAACGUUAAUCGGGGCAGGGUGAGUCGACCCCUAAGGCGAGGCCGAAAGGCGUAGUCGAUGGGAAACAGGUUAAUAUUCCUGUACUUGGUGUUACUGCGAAGGGGGGACGGAGAAGGCUAUGUUGGCCGGGCGACGGUUGUCCCGGUUUAAGCGUGUAGGCUGGUUUUCCAGGCAAAUCCGGAAAAUCAAGGCUGAGGCGUGAUGACGAGGCACUACGGUGCUGAAGCAACAAAUGCCCUGCUUCCAGGAAAAGCCUCUAAGCAUCAGGUAACAUCAAAUCGUACCCCAAACCGACACAGGUGGUCAGGUAGAGAAUACCAAGGCGCUUGAGAGAACUCGGGUGAAGGAACUAGGCAAAAUGGUGCCGUAACUUCGGGAGAAGGCACGCUGAUAUGUAGGUGAAGUCCCUCGCGGAUGGAGCUGAAAUCAGUCGAAGAUACCAGCUGGCUGCAACUGUUUAUUAAAAACACAGCACUGUGCAAACACGAAAGUGGACGUAUACGGUGUGACGCCUGCCCGGUGCCGGAAGGUUAAUUGAUGGGGUUAGCGCAAGCGAAGCUCUUGAUCGAAGCCCCGGUAAACGGCGGCCGUAACUAUAACGGUCCUAAGGUAGCGAAAUUCCUUGUCGGGUAAGUUCCGACCUGCACGAAUGGCGUAAUGAUGGCCAGGCUGUCUCCACCCGAGACUCAGUGAAAUUGAACUCGCUGUGAAGAUGCAGUGUACCCGCGGCAAGACGGAAAGACCCCGUGAACCUUUACUAUAGCUUGACACUGAACAUUGAGCCUUGAUGUGUAGGAUAGGUGGGAGGCUUUGAAGUGUGGACGCCAGUCUGCAUGGAGCCGACCUUGAAAUACCACCCUUUAAUGUUUGAUGUUCUAACGUUGACCCGUAAUCCGGGUUGCGGACAGUGUCUGGUGGGUAGUUUGACUGGGGCGGUCUCCUCCUAAAGAGUAACGGAGGAGCACGAAGGUUGGCUAAUCCUGGUCGGACAUCAGGAGGUUAGUGCAAUGGCAUAAGCCAGCUUGACUGCGAGCGUGACGGCGCGAGCAGGUGCGAAAGCAGGUCAUAGUGAUCCGGUGGUUCUGAAUGGAAGGGCCAUCGCUCAACGGAUAAAAGGUACUCCGGGGAUAACAGGCUGAUACCGCCCAAGAGUUCAUAUCGACGGCGGUGUUUGGCACCUCGAUGUCGGCUCAUCACAUCCUGGGGCUGAAGUAGGUCCCAAGGGUAUGGCUGUUCGCCAUUUAAAGUGGUACGCGAGCUGGGUUUAGAACGUCGUGAGACAGUUCGGUCCCUAUCUGCCGUGGGCGCUGGAGAACUGAGGGGGGCUGCUCCUAGUACGAGAGGACCGGAGUGGACGCAUCACUGGUGUUCGGGUUGUCAUGCCAAUGGCACUGCCCGGUAGCUAAAUGCGGAAGAGAUAAGUGCUGAAAGCAUCUAAGCACGAAACUUGCCCCGAGAUGAGUUCUCCCUGACUCCUUGAGAGUCCUGAAGGAACGUUGAAGACGACGACGUUGAUAGGCCGGGUGUGUAAGCGCAGCGAUGCGUUGAGCUAACCGGUACUAAUGAACCGUGAGGCUUAACCUU